rnacentral:rRNA from 1 species
CGGCCGCGGUACCCUAACCGUGCGAAGGUAGCGUAAUCACUUGUUCUUUAAAUGAGGACUAGUAUCAACGGCAUCACGAGGAUCCUACUGUCUCCCCGCUCCAAUCAGUGAAACUGAUCUCUCCGUGAAGAAGCGGGGAUAUACAUAUAAGACGAGAAGACCCCAUGGAGCUUUAAACCCGGCAGCACCUAUUCUAUCAAUACCCUCACAUUCUCCUAGCAAAUGCUCGUCUGGUUUUAGGUUGGGGUGACCACGGAGUAAAAAACAACCUCCGCGAGAAAAGAAAUAAUAAUUCUUAUCAGCGAACCACACUUCUAUGAAUUAGUAAACUAAUUUUUAAUGAUCCGACUUUCGAUCAACGAACCAAGUUACCCUGGGGAUAACAGCGCAAUCCGCCUCAAGAGCCCCUAUCGACAGGCGGGUUUACGACCUCGAUGUUGGAUCAGGGUAUCCCAGUGGUGCAGCAGCUACUAAAGGUUCGUUUGUUCAACGAUU